CCUACGGGCGGCUGCAGUGGGGGAUAUUGCACAAUGGGGGAAACCCUGAUGCAGCGACGCCGCGUGGGUGAAGAAGCGCCUCGGCGCGUAAAGCCCUGUCAGCAGGGAAGAAAAUGACGGUACCUGAAGAAGAAGCCCCGGCUAACUACGUGCCAGCAGCCGCGGUAAUACGUAGGGGGCAAGCGUUAUCCGGAUUUACUGGGUGUAAAGGGGGCGCAGACGGCGAUGCAAGCCAGGAGUGAAAGCCCGGGGCCCAACCCCGGGACUGCUCUUGGAACUGCGUGGCUAGAGUGCAGGAGGGGCAGGCGGAAGUGCUGGGGUAGCGGUGAAAUGCGUAGAUAUCAGGAGGAACACCGGUGGCGAAGGCGGCCUGCUGGACUGCAACUGACGUUGAGGCCCGAAAGCGUGGGGAGCAAACAGGAUUAGAUACCCCAGUAGUC
rnacentral:rRNA from 1 species